rnacentral:piRNA from 1 species
UACAUCCAUCAUCUAUUCGGU